GACGAACGCUGGCGGCGUGCUUAACACAUGCAAGUCGAACGGAAAGGCCCUGCUUUUGUGGGGUGCUCGAGUGGCGAACGGGUGAGUAACACGGGAGUAACCUGCCCUUGACUUUGGGAUAACUUCAGGAAACUGGGGCUAAUACCGGAUAGGAGCUCCUGCUGCAUGGUGGGGGUUGGAAAGUUUCGGCGGUUGGGGAUGGACUCGCGGCUUAUCAGCUGGUUGGUGGGGUAGUGGCUUACCAAGGCUUUGACGGGUAGCCGGCCUGAGAGGGUGACCGGCCACAUUGGGACUGAGAUACGGCCCAGACUCCUACGGGAGGCAGCAGGGGGGAAUAUUGCACAAUGGGCGGAAGCCUGAUGAAGCAACGCCGCGUGCGGGAUGACGGCCUUCGGGUUGUAAACCGCUUUCGCCUGUGACGAAGCGUGAGUGACGGUAAUGGGUAAAGAAGCACCGGCUAACUACGUG
rnacentral:rRNA from 1 species